rnacentral:lncRNA from 1 species
GCCAAACUGGGCGUUACCCACGUGGGUCCGAAGCUGUCGCCGACCUGCGCAGGGCUGAAGUUCUGCUGCACCGCCUUCUCAUAGGGAAGCCUCUCGGGCGUCAGGAAGCUGGAGAGUGUCACCGAGCAGCUGUCCCCGAAGAGCCUGGGCAGGAGCAGCUGAUGGGCGCAUGCUCGAAGCCGCCCCUGUCCCACCCGUGAGCCAGCGGAUGGCUGGGGAAACGCUCUCCCUUGGCUAAGGCCGUGAGGACUGCCUGGCAGCUCAGCAGCACAGACCAACCUCUACCGUUCGCUCCCCAGCCCCUGGCCUGGCAGUGGCGGGAACUUUGUUCCGCGGCCCGGUUGGCCACGGCCUGGGUUUCCCUCCGGAAGGGAAGGGGAGAGCGCGCGGGUGUGGUAGGCCAAGGACCACACCUGCCGCGAAGGUUACAGUCGGUGAAGUAGAUCGGGGACACGAACUUCUCCACCCGCUCGAAAGUGGUGCGCCAGUGCUUCAAGAACGGCGCUGCCGCCAUGGCGAUGCGCCUUCCCUCCCCGGAAGAUCCUUGGUGCUGCCGGCUCGUUGCACCGCUUGGAACCAAAGGUUCCGGCAUCCAACCAGCUUACAGACCCGAGCAGCUUUUCUGGGAACACCACGGCUUUUGCAAGAGGCUGGCUCUGGGGAGCCUCCCAGUGAAACCCGGAAGCUGAGCCUUCGCGGUUCUCACCUCAGCCUUGCUGUCAGACAGCUGGGUAAAUUAUUUUAAAAUACAAUGGUAAGUUUGAGCUGGUGGUGUGGUUCGGUAGGGAGAGUGCUUGCCUAGGAUGCACAAAGUUCACAGACCAGGAAGUGUAAAUUGGAGUAAUCUGCGACAAUGUAGCGCCUUUGAGUACAGCCUGAGCUACUUGGUAUUCUGAAGGAAGGGCUAGGGAGGGAACCCCUGGAAGGGCAUGGGAAAGGUUUAGUUUUCCAUUCUCUUCACUUACUCAAGCAUUGGUAACUGCAUAAUAUGAAAAGCGCAAGGCUACUUCGGGUGUUUUCAGAAAUACAGAAAAGGGGCUUUGCACACCAGUAAUCCUCCAUUACAUUACAUGCAUCACCGUUGCCCAUUACCCCAAUGUCCAGAAUUUUGAUCUAACGCAGGUCAACAAGUGCAAGGAAGUUUGAAUGCUAACCUCCAGCUUUAACGUUUGCAGGAGUCUGGAAGAAAAUAAUACAGGAGGAAUCUAACUAGCCUGCUUUAAUGGAAAUAACCAGGUUUACAUUCCAAAUGCAGGUUACCCAGAAAAAUGAUCAAGUAAGAAAUAUACAAUGCCAAUUAAAAUAACUUGUCAAAACUUGA